UAGCUGACAAGAGCUCCCAGAAGUGCUCUGUAAUCUUCAAGGCAGAACCAUAAACAUGAUUAGUCCUGGAGACUCCAGAGAAAAUCCGAAUGGCAAGACCUCAGACCCUGACUGCUCUUUAGUUAAGGCCUGUGGGCACUCAGAGGUCUGUUGAGGAUUCAAUGACUUCCUCAUGGCUGCCUGUGGAUGGUAAAGGAAGACACUACGUUUUACAUAGCAUGAUGGGUUUCAAUGUCUGCCUCGGGCAUCACUUCUGUGCUGGUCAUCCCUCAUCUCCAUCUCUACUCUUGCUCACACACUCACCUGCCAUGACUCAGCUAAAAUCCCUGCCUCUCCAGGAUGGGAGUCAUCACCCUGCUUUCUCUCAUCUCAGCCUGCCCCGCACCUGUUGUGGCCACGCCCUUCGUCUCAGCCCUUUCCGAGCAAUAAAGCAUCCUUUCCUUCCCAGGGUCUCACUGCUCUCUGCAGCUGGCUAGGUUUGCAGUGUUUAGCAUCAACACCGACUCCUGCCUCUCUUCUAGCCUUUCAUCCAAGUUUCUAAGCACCGUUGUAGUCUCAGGUACUUAGGAGCCAGAGGCAGGAGGAUUAUUUGAAUUCAGAAGUUUGAGAUUAACCUAGAUGAUGUACUGAGAGCCUAUCUCCAUUAAAAAAAAAAAGUGUGUGAA